AUUGAACGCUGGCGGCAGGCCUAACACAUGCAAGUCGAGCGGAUGAGGGAAGCUUGCUUCCCGAUUUAGCGGCGGACGGGUGAGUAAUGCCUAGGAAUCUGCCUAUUAGUGGGGGAUAACGUUCCGAAAGGAACGCUAAUACCGCAUACGUCCUACGGGAGAAAGCAGGGGACCUUCGGGCCUUGCGCUAUCAGAUGAGCCUAGGUCGGAUUAGCUAGUUGGUGGGGUAAUGGCUCACCAAGGCGACGAUCCGUAACUGGUCUGAGAGGAUGAUCAGUCACACUGGAACUGAGACACGGUCCAGACUCCUACGGGAGGCAGCAGUGGGGAAUAUUGGACAAUGGGCGAAAGCCUGAUCCAGCCAUGCCGCGUGUGUGAAGAAGGUCUUCGGAUUGUAAAGCACUUUAAGUUGGGAGGAAGGGCAGUAAGUUAAUACCUUGCUGUUUUGACGUUACCGACAGAAUAAGCACCGGCUAACUCUGUGCCAGCCGCCGCGGUAAAAC
rnacentral:rRNA from 1 species